UACAGAGGGUGCGAGCGUUAAUCGGAAUUACUGGGCGUAAAGCGUGCGUAGACGGCUAUCUAAGUCGGGUGUGAAAGCCCCGGGCUCAGCCCGGGAAGUGCGCUCGAAACUGCGCGGCUCGAGUGCCGGAGGGGAGAGUGGAAUUCCUGGUGUAGCGGUGAAAUGCGCAGAUAUCAGGAGGAACACCGGUGGCGAAGGCGGGUCUCUGGGCCGAUACUGACGCUGAGGAGCGAAAGCGUGGGGAGCGAACAGG
rnacentral:rRNA from 1 species